rnacentral:rRNA from 1 species
UACGGAGGGGGCUAGCGUUGUUCGGAAUUACUGGGCGUAAAGCGCACGUAGGCGGCUUUGUAAGUUAGAGGUGAAAGCCCAGGGCUCAACCCUGGAAUUGCCUUUAAGACUGCAUCGCUUGAACAUCGGAGAGGUAAGUGAAAUUCCGAGUGUAGAGGUGAAAUUCGUAGAUAUUCGGAAGAACACCAGUGGCGAAGGCGACUUACUGGACGAUUGUUGACGCUGAGGUGCGAAAGCGUGGGGAGCAAACAGG